GCUUAGAGUUUGAUCCUGGCUCAGGAUGAACGCUGGCGGUAUGCUUAACACAUGCAAGUCGAACGGAGUACUUCGGUACUUAGUGGCGGACGGGUGAGUAACGCGUGAGAAUCUGCCUUCAGGAUGGGGAUAACAGUGGGAAACCAUUGCUAAUACCCAAUGAGCCGAGAGGUAAAAAAUUUAUUGCCUGAAGGGGAGCUCGCGUCCGAUUAGUUAGUUGGUGGGGUAAGGGCUUACCAAGACGGCGAUCGGUAGCUGGUCUGAGAGGAUGAGCAGCCACACUGGGACUGAGACACGGCCCAGACUCCUACGGGAGGCAGCAGUGGGGAAUUUUCCGCAAUGGGCGCAAGCCUGACGGAGCAAUACCGCGUGAGGGAGGAAGGCCUUUGGGUUGUAAACCUCUUUUCUUAAGGAAGAAGAUCUGACGGUACUUAAGGAAUCAGCAUCGGCUAACUCCGUGCCAGCAGCCGCGGUAAUACGGAGGAUGCAAGCGUUAUCCGGAAUUAUUGGGCGUAAAGCGUCCGCAGGCGGCACUAUAAGUCUGCUGUCAAAGACCGCAGCUCAACUGCGGAAAGGCAGUGGAAACUGUAGAGCUAGAGUACGGUAGGGGUAGAGGGAAUUCCCAGUGUAGCGGUGAAAUGCGUAGAGAUUGGGAAGAACACCAGUGGCGAAAGCGCUCUACUGGGCCGUAACUGACGCUCAGGGACGAAAGCUAGGGGAGCGAAAGGGAUUAGAUACCCCUGUAGUCCUAGCUGUAAACGAUGGAUACUAGGCGUAGCUUGUAUCGACCCGAGCUGUGCCGAAGCUAACGCGUUAAGUAUCCCGCC
rnacentral:rRNA from 1 species